rnacentral:sRNA from 1 species
GCCGGGUGUGGUGGCGCACGCCUGUAAUCCCAGCUACUUAGGAGGCUGAGGCGGGAGAAUUGCUUGAACCCGGGAGGCAGAGGUUGCAGUGAGGCGAGAUCUCACCACUGCACUCCAGCCUGGGGGAGAGAGCGAGACUCUGUCUCAA